CAGUCGCCGCGGUAAUACGUAGGGUGCGAGCGUUGUCCGGAUUUAUUGGGCGUAAAGGGCUCGUAGGCGGCCUGUCGCGUCGGAAGUGAAAGCCCACUGCUUAACGGUGGGUCUGCUUCCGGUACGGGCAGGCUGGAGUAUGGCAGGGGAGACUGGAAUUCCUGGUGUAGCGGUGGAAUGCGCAGAUAUCAGGAAGAACACCGGUGGCGAAGGCGGGUCUCUGGGCCAUUACUGACGCUGAGGAGCGAAAGCGUGGGGAGCGAACAGGAUUAGAUACCCCAGUAGUCCCUGUCUCUUAUAC
rnacentral:rRNA from 1 species